UACGAAGGGGGCUAGCGUUGCUCGGAAUCACUGGGCGUAAAGGGUGCGUAGGCGGGUCUUUUAAGUCAGGGGUGAAAUCCUGGAGCUCAACUCCAGAACUGCCUUUGAUACUGAAGAUCUUGAGUUCGGGAGAGGUGAGUGGAACUGCGAGUGUAGAGGUGAAAUUCGUAGAUAUUCGCAAGAACACCAGUGGCGAAGGCGGCUCACUGGCCCGAUACUGACGCUGAGGCACGAAAGCGUGGGGAGCAAGCAGG
rnacentral:rRNA from 1 species